rnacentral:rRNA from 1 species
CCUGAUGACCAUAGCGAGGUGGUCCCACUCCUUCCCAUCCCGAACAGGACAGUGAAACGCCUCAGCGCCGAUGAUAGUGCGGAUUCCCGUGUGAAAGUAGGACAUCGUCAGGCAGUUAUUCCCCCGAAACCCCCUCACUCCCAGCGAGUGCAGGGGGUUUAGGCUUUUAUACG